rnacentral:rRNA from 1 species
CCUACGGGAGGCAGCAGUGAGGAAUAUUGGUCAAUGGACGCAAGUCUGAACCAGCCAUGUAGCGUGAAGGAUGACUGCCCUAUGGGUUGUACACUUCUUUUAUAUGGGAAUAAAGUGCAGUAUGUAUACUGCUCUUCAUGUACCUUAUGAAUAAGGAUCGGCUAACUACGUGCCAGCAGCCGCGGUAAUACGGAGGACCCGAGCGUUAUCCGGAUUUAUUGGGUUUAAAGGGAGCGUAGGCGGGUUGUUAAGUCAGUUGUGAAAGUUUGCGGCUCAACCGUAAAAUUGCAGUUGAUACUGGCAGCCUUGAGUACAGUAGAGGUAGGCGGAAUUCGUGGUGUAGCGGUGAAAUGCUUAGAUAUCACGAAGAACUCCGAUUGCGAAGGCAGCCUGCUGGACUGUAACUGACGCUGAUGCUCGAAAGUGUGGGUAUCAAACAGGAUUAGAUACCCUUGUAGUC